AAUCCUCAGACAUGCCUAUGGACC
rnacentral:siRNA from 1 species